rnacentral:rRNA from 1 species
AGAGUUUGAUCAUGGCUCAGAUUGAACGCUGGCGGCAUGCCUUACACAUGCAAGUCGAACGGUAACGCGGGGCAACCUGGCGACGAGUGGCGAACGGGUGAGUAAUAUAUCGGAACGUGCCCAAUAGUGGGGGAUAGCCCGGCGAAAGCCGGAUUAAUACCGCAUACGACCUGAGGGUGAAAGCGGGGGAUCGCAAGACCUCGCGCUAUUGGAGCGGCCGAUAUCAGAUUAGGUAGUUGGUGGGGUAAAAGCCUACCAAGCCUACGAUCUGUAGCUGGUCUGAGAGGACGACCAGCCACACUGGGACUGAGACACGGCCCAGACUCCUACGGGAGGCAGCAGUGGGGAAUUUUGGACAAUGGGCGCAAGCCUGAUCCAGCAAUGCCGCGUGCAGGAUGAAGGCCUUCGGGUUGUAAACUGCUUUUGUACGGAACGAAACGGUCUCUCCUAAUACGGGGGGCUAAUGACGGUACCGUAAGAAUAAGCACCGGCUAACUACGUG